rnacentral:rRNA from 1 species
UACGGGGGGAGCAAGCGUUGUUCGGAUUUACUGGGCGUAAAGGGCGCGUAGGCGGCGCAACAAGUCACUUGUGAAAUCUUCAGGCUUAACCUGAAGCGGCCAAGUGAUACUGUCGUGCUAGAGUGCGGAAGGGGCAACUGGAAUUCUUGGUGUAGCGGUGAAAUGCGUAGAUAUCAGGAGGAACACCGGUGGCGAAGGCGGGUCUCUGGGCCGAUACUGACGCUGAGGAGCGAAAGCGUGGGGAGCGAACAGG